rnacentral:lncRNA from 1 species
CUAAAAUGCUGCACUGUGUUUUGUUUAACUGCCAGACCUGCUAGCAGAAUGCCAAAGCUAAUAGCUAAACUCUGUUGUGAGCAGCACAGAGCAGCACACCUCACUACAUCACCCUGCAGUCCCACAGUACAGUAGAAAAGUAGAGUGGAUAAAGUUUCUAUCUGACGGCAGGUUCACAGCUACAGUCCAUAAAAACCUGUAGGCUAAAAGUGUUCUCUCCAACCUGGGUAAGCUCAACGGAAGACUGGCAACAGAACUUCUCUGGAAAAAAGAUUCACUGUCAGUGGAAACAAUGCAAAUGAGUAUCAGGUUGGUCCCAUCCAGUUGUCUGGUGAGUUGGCUCUGCCUCUGCCUUCAGCACACAACAAGGGUCCAGAUGCAACAAGACCUGGGCCUGAUGAUGGUGCCACUACUAAAAUUGGCAUUACUGUAUUUUCUGCACUAUAAGCGAAAGACUUCCUCUCUACCACUUAUCCCUCUCCCUGCAAGUCGACGGAUGAAGGGAGUUCACCAGGGUUCUCGCUCUCUCUCCUUUCCUCCAUUCCUGUAUUUGCCAGUUCUAUUUUUGCUAGCUGCCUGAGGGUUCUAUUAGUUUCGAGUAAAGAGCCAAGUUCACUUCUGCUCUCUGAGCAUUGCUUAUUUAGCGGGAGGAUGAGGACUUGGCGAAGUGAAGGAUUGCGGGUGAUGAAGUAAAGGACUAGCAAGUUUUAUUAAGUGAGUGAACAGUCUGUAGCAGUAGUUUGGCCAAAACAUGUUAUUAAGUUGUUAAGCAUCUCAUAGUUCAGCCCUUAGGAAAAAUGUCAGGAUGAGUAAUUUCAGUAAUUUAAAAUAGACGUGUUUAUGUGCUUUCUGACACUGAAAAAGGAUGUUGCAUAGCUAAAAACAGUUAUUUACACAAAGUUGCAUUUACAGUUACAUUUACACAAAUAUAUAUGUAUAUAUAUCGUCCAAAACAGCAACUUUACAGGAGAGAGAAAAAACCUUGUAAAAUUUCAAUGGAAGUCAAUGUAAAAAGAGUUUAUUUCAGGUCAUUUUGAAGAGUUUCUAUUGGUCCCUUCAUCAAAAAAAUUUUGCUACAGUGUAAGAGACAGUUUGUCUGUUCAAAUUAUGUAGUAAACUAAAAAUCAACAA